rnacentral:rRNA from 1 species
CCUACGGGAGGCAGCAGUGGGGAAUUUUGGACAAUGGGCGCAAGCCUGAUCCAGCAAUGCCGCGUGAGUGAAGAAGGCCUUCGGGUUGUAAAGCUCUUUUGUCAGGGAAGAAACGGUGGGGGCUAAUAUCUCCUGCUAAUGACGGUACCUGAAGAAUAAGCACCGGCUAACUACGUGCCAGCAGCCGCGGUAAUACGUAGGGUGCAAGCGUUAAUCGGAAUUACUGGGCGUAAAGCGUGCGCAGGCGGUUUUGUAAGUUUGUCGUGAAAUCCCCGGGCUCAACCUGGGAAUGGCGAUGAAGACUGCAAGGCUAGAAUCUGGCAGAGGGGGGUAGAAUUCCACGUGUAGCAGUGAAAUGCGUAGAGAUGUGGAGGAACACCGAUGGCGAAGGCAGCCCCCUGGGUCAAGAUUGACGCUCAUGCACGAAAGCGUGGGGAGCAAACAGGAUUAGAUACCCUGGUAGUCCACGCCCUAAACGAUGUCUACUAGUUGUCGGGUUUUAAUUAACUUGGUAACGCAGCUAACGCGUGAAGUAGACCGCCUGGGGAUACGGUCGCAAGAUUAAAACUCAAAUGAAUUGACCGGNUGAGACGAGCGAGACGACGACGAGGGAGGAGG